rnacentral:rRNA from 1 species
UACGUAGGGUGCGAGCGUUGUCCGGAAUUAUUGGGCGUAAGGAGCUCGUAGGCGGUUUGUCACGUCUGCUGUGAAAUCCCGAGGCUCAACCUCGGGCCUGCAGUGGGUACGGGCAGACUGGAGUGCGGUAGGGGAGAAUGGAAUUCCUGGUGUAGCGGUGGAAUGCGCAGAUAUCAGGAGGAACACCGAUGGCGAAGGCAGUUCUCUGGGCCGUAACUGACGCUGAGGAGCGAAAGCGUGGGGAGCGAACAGG